ensembl:snRNA U6 U6 spliceosomal RNA
GUGCUUGCUUCAGCAGCACAUACACUAAAGUUGGAACAAUACAAAGAAGAUUAGCAUGGCCCCUG